rnacentral:rRNA from 1 species
GACGUAGGGCGCGAGCGUUGUCCGGAUUUAUUGGGCGUAAAGAGCGUGUAGGCGGCCAAGCAGGUCAGCUGUGAAAACUCGAGGCUCAACCUCGAGACGUCGGUUGAAACCGCUUGGCUAGAGUCCGGAAGAGGAGAGUGGAAUUCCCGGUGUAGCGGUGAAAUGCGCAGAUAUCGGGAAGAACACCCGUGGCGAAGGCGGCUCUCUGGGACGGUACUGACGCUGAGACGCGAAAGCGUGGGGAGCGAACAGG